GUAGAGUCCAAUUGUGAUAAGUGCUCUCCCUGUUUGCAGAUAGCAGCAAUGACUGAGGGCACCUACAUCAGCUCCUGAGCAACCCACCCGGAACCAACUGAACAGAGGACAGCACAGUGGGGUCUUUCUCACUUUGCAACCGAAAGAGCUGGAACAAAGGACAGAGAAGCCAAAGAAACAGCAUGAAACCCAAAGCUGUCACAGAAACCCUGGAGCAUUGUCCAAGGAAUUACGACGACGUUGUGCCAACGGCUAUUGUGAAAAGAGAACACUGGAUCCCACUGGAUCCCAGCAUACCUGGAUGUCACUCUUCAUGGGACUUGGACCAUCUUUACCUACCUUUGAGCAUCUAGUCCUGUUUCAGCUGUGGGAGUUCUGGUUGACCUUCCCUCUGAGGGAAUGUUCACUCUGUCUCCCUUGAAGGUCUGGAUUCAAAGGUCUUAACUGAAACUGGGUCACUUAGGCUAGAAGCAUCUCUCGACAUGGCUGUUUCUCAGAAGUGGUCAAGUUCAUGGCACACCUAUUUCCUUUGCCACCUGGGGUUCAUUUCUGACAGAUGCUCCCUGGCCUGGUCAGCAUGUCUCCCGGAUGUCUCUUUCUCCCCUCUGUUGCCCAUUCCACAUGAUACUUGCUCAGUGGUGACACUGUCCUCUCCUGAUGCUUUGAUUGGAUGUGGGGGAGAAAGUAUGGUUUGCUGGCCCUGGGGUCUUGGGGUCUUGGAGGCUAUGGAGCAUGGACAGAAGGUAACCGUGAAGGAGGCCAGCCCUGAUGGCCCGUUGUACUCUCAUGACUCUUACCCUUGCCUUCUGUGUCUGUCCUAAUCCAGGAUAGUUGUGCUUUUCUUUUUCCAAUUAAACAUAAUUACUCUUCAUUAUCACAAAGCAGCUCAUGCUUAUCAUAAAAACAUCAGAAAUAUAGAAAAAUAGAAGAAAAAACUACCCCAAUCCUACUUACCUCAAAGACAACUAUUGAGUCAUUGUAGGUAUAGAGUAUUAUAUAUAUAUUAUGUGUAUGAAUAUAUGAAUAAUGUAAUGUCACAAUAUCACUUGUAGUCUUCGAUAACACAUAUUGAUUGUCAUUUAGUGUCUUAUCUUGAACUGCUCUCUACAGUAACAAGCUCAGCUCUGCAGCAAUUAUAAUGUGAGCGUACUCAAUUAUAUAGAUGCACUAUCAUUUAUUUACCUAAUUUCCUAUGGGUUUUUGUUUAGCUUGUUUCCGACUUUCUCUGUUUUAAGAAGCAUUAAUGAACUUGUUUUUAGUUUAAUCUUCCUAUAGUUAUUUCCUUAAGGUACAUCCCCAGAAGGGGAUCAAAGGACAGUCAGCAAAGAUUAUAAAUACUCCCAAUCCCACCACUAAGUGCUCAGAACCCAAAAGCCAUAGAGGCAGGGCCAGGGGGUGAUCACACACGCCCUUUCUUAGAUCCUUUUAUACACUCACUUGGACAGUUCGGGCUUCCUUUGUCUCCCCUUUGGCUGGAGGACACCCACCACUGACAGCUGAGUGAAGUAGGUCUUGAGUGAGGGAGAGGGUUGGUCCCUUGAGCUCAGUAUUCGGUGUACCUUACAAUUCCUUCUUGGGUGCUGAGCAAUGGUCCUGAAUUCAUUCCUUCCCCGUUAGGGAGCAGCCACUAUUUGAAAGUGGUAGGGUAGAGGCUGAGGCAACAAAGAUGAGUUCACCAGGACUUUACCCUCUCCUCCAACACAGCGUGGAGGAGGCAGUGAGGUAGAUAGCACACAAGUGUUUGGAGAGAAAAUAUCAGAUCAGAAAUACAUCUCAGGGCAGAAAAUGGGGAGCCAUUUGGAAGUCCCAGAGAAGAUGUAUGAAAAUCACAUAAUCUUCUGGCCCCUCAUCACAGGUGACAUCUUUGGUGUGUCCUUUUAGUCCAUGAGACCUGCUGCCUGUGGCUACCCUCGCCAGACUCAGCCUUCUUAAUUGUAUUGCCUGUGUCUUUUCUUUGCACCUCUAACAACCUGGACCAUCUUAACAACUUAUUCUGAAAUCUGUUCAAUGCAAAAUCCAAAUGGGAGUAAACAAAAUUAAAGGUAAAGGGAUUCAUGAGUUGAAACAGUGACUCCAUGUUUUAUGUAUGGAGGAGAAUUUGCAUUAAUUCAUAUCCUUCUGCCUGAUGGAAACUUUUCUCAGAUAUUUCAUUAUAGAAGUAGCAGUCACAUUUCAGAAAACUUGGGGGCUAGAGAAAAAGAGAACUGUCACCCUAUCUCAGGGCUGGUAGCUUCUAAUGACCUUCACCUUGAAAAUUUGGUAGUAAGAUGAUGUUGAGGACAAGAGCUAAGGAAUAUUUGGGUUUUGUCUUUAGUUUUAAUUAAAAUGUUUGAUAGUUAACUACAUUCCCAUAGUUCCAAAUUCAAAUAGUACAAAAGCAUAUAAACUAGAAAGUCCAUCUAGUUCCCUGGAGACCAAAUGCUAUUUUUCCUGUGUGCCCUUCUAGAGUUCUUGGUACAUAUAAAACCAUAUGAAUUUUUAAUGGGGGGCUUGGAAAUAUUAUUACCAAAUGUUCUAAGUUUAGCCUAAACUGUCCUUGUCAAUUCUAAUAGCAGGCCUGAAUGCAGGUAGAGACGAAGAGAGAAAAGUGUGUGUGUGUGUGUGUGUGUGUGUGUGUGUGUGGAGUAGGUGAUUGUUGCUGAGGGCGAGGGUGAAGGAAAGAGCAAUCUUUUGUUCACUUGUCCAGCUAGUAUUUAGGGAGCACCUAUCAUGUUUCAAAUGCUAUCCUGCACUCAAGUGAUACAGGAGUGAUUCAAAACCUGUCCUUAGGAGAGUAUUUAAAAGUAGAAGGUGGUAGGCAAUAAAUAUAAUUGAUAAGGAAAUUAUAGAGUCUAUUAGAAUUUGAUAAGUGCUAUGGAAUAAAAUGAAGUAGGAUGUAGGAGUUGGGAAGUGAGAGAGCAAUUUUAAAGUGAUAAACCGGGGAGGGCUUUAUUGAGAAGGAGGAACAUGAACAUAAACUUGAAAAGGGUGAUGGGGUGAGCUCUGUAGAUGUCCAGAGGAAGUGUACCCCUGGAGGGAAGAAGGCCCCGUGGCAGAAAUUUGAGCCCCAGAGGUUCCCUACAGCCUCUUCCUCUAUCUCCAGGCUGCUCCUGGUGACCCUGCACCACGGCUGGCUGCAGCUGAGGUCAGACUGGUGUGAUCUGUUCACGGUGCUGAGAUUACCUGAUACUUGAUGUUUGCUUUUCUUUCUUUAAACUUCUAUCCUGAUGCUUGAUUUUACUCUAAGGAAAUUCUCUGUUUUGGAUGUUCAUUUGGUCUGCAUAGGGAAGAAGAGGGCAGCAUUAUUAUAGUAGGUGGACAAGACUGAGUCUUGGGGGUCCUGGAUUCUAAACCAUUCCUAUGGCCUCUUUUCUACUCAGCCUUUCUGGUCCUCAGUUUCUUCAUUGAGAAAGUGAAGGGGAUAUACUUAGAUGGCUUCAGGGCUGCCUCCAACAUGGUGGGUGUCAAGCUCUGUGACCAUGUGAAGAGUUAAGGUAGGAGGUGGCAUUGGGUGGCAGCUAGCAGUGCUAGAGGGAGGCAGAGGGACUUCUAGGAGCCGAGGACUAUGCGUGGCAUGUAGUGCCACCUGGUUUUCCCUCUUGGAUUCCACGAGCUCAGCUUCAUCCAGAAAAUAGAAUCUUCCAUCUGAGGAAGCCCAGAGUUCUCCAUGUGAGCAGAGGAGACAUGGGUUCACUGUUAAUCCAUUCCUUUCUCCUCAUUGCUUUUAGUGUCUGUCCCCUUUCAACCCUGAAAAGCUUGGCUUUCUCUGUACCCCUUGGCUGAGCUCAUUCUCUGUCUGCAGCAGAGGUGGCCGUGGUGGGGCUGGGACUCCUUCUUUUGUCCCUCUGGCCCCAGAGGUCCCCCCUCCUGCACCCCACCUUUGCUGUCUUCAAUUUGGACGCCAGAUUCUUCAUCUGCUUGGUGACUUUGGUGGUGUGGGGGAGAGGGAGCAUGUCAUUGGCAUUACCCUUGUUCCAUGUGGAGAAAAAUCACUGUGAAUUUAAAACUGAGAUGUGUGUAAAAGGUUGUGGGGGCAGAGCUGGGCCUUGGGAAGUUUCAUUCAGGAGAAUUCAGCAUGAAUAGAAGCCUUGCCUCUUCCUCUCUCAAAGCUGAGUCACCUUGGUUGUAGUGACUCUUGCUGACUCCUCAGCAUUUCCUUGUAUUCUUGUCCCCCCUCCCCCCAGGCUGCCCAUCUGUGGCCUUCUUUGCUGCUGUUAAAAAGGCCACAGAAGACUGGCUUCUGAAAUUGGGCUUCUCUUCCCCUGUUGCAGUAGAGGGGACAUUGUGUUCCCUCAGCCUUGUGGGGGAAAUUUACGUGCCACACACCUUCCACUGGCGAGGGAUCCCGAG
rnacentral:lncRNA from 1 species